rnacentral:lncRNA from 1 species
GGUCCUCCGUUUCCCAGGAGGAAGAAAAAAAGAAAAAUGGAGUCGCAGCCGGCUUCGGCAGGUGUUGGGGCCAGGCGUGCGAGACGCCGAGGCCGCGGGGACUUCCCCACCUGCUUCCAACCGACGAAAGCGUGAAGUGAGGCGCGCCCAGUCCCACCCUGCCCAGACUUUCUUGCAAAAAUGCCUGUUUGGGAUUCCUCAGAGUACAGACAAAAAGGAAGGCUUGAUCAGCAUGUGGUGGAUCUGAAGAUUCAAAGAGGUGCCACAGCUCAAAAGUAGACAUUUUGGCAAAUGUGAAGAAGUGAGAUUCAAUGAAGAUGAUAAGAAAUGAAAGGUGUUACCAAAAUUACACAAGUAUUUCUGUCAUUUUCCUACUAAAUUACAUGAAGGGGGUUGUCUGCUUAUGAGCUGCACCACCGAGCAGCAUGCCUAUCAGCGAGAAGGUGCCUGACAAUUCUCAGUUGAAAUGUCCUGACCAAGUUCCCCCAGAAAUUUAUGACUAAUAACAAAAGGGAAAAGCUACCCUCACAAGGAGAUGUCCAGUUGACACUAUCUCAACCAAAAUUAUUAAACAUAGCAUCAGCAAUCGUGGGACAAACAGACGCAAACAUCUCCUGGUGUGAGGCGAGGAAAGAAGACGACUUUACCAUGUGAACCCCUGUGGCUUCCUCAGAGACUGUCUGCUCUGGCACAUGCUCCUCCAGGUCUU